AUGACUUAGUACGAAUUACUUAUAUAUCACCUUGAUGUGCUGUUAUUCAUAUCGAACUCCACAAUCAUUACUGGUAAUGAAAUACCUACAAUACCUACUCAGGUCCGUUGGUUUUCAUGUAUUCUACAACUGCGACUUUGCUGUCAAGUGGUCUAAUUCUGAUUGUAGGUUCUGGGUGUCAGUUUCAUUAAUUUAUCCUAUUCUUUUGAUUUAAUUUAGAAGAGUAAAUAUUAAGUUAGUUUAGAAGCCGGAAUCUCUUUAUGUUUAAUUUAACAUUUUUUAUAAAAAAACUUUUGUCUUUUGACUAAUCUGUUAGAUUUUUGUUAUACAUUUGUUGAUUUUUAUAUAUUUCUUUAGUUUCUUAUUACUACAACAAAGUGAUUUUUAUGGAAUGACAUAAAUCACUAACACAGGUGAGGUCUAUAGUCACUGGAUUCAAGUCAAUAUGUUGUGAUUGAGAAGCACGGGCUGACACAAACUCGCUGAAGAGACUGUUAUUCAGACUGGCCGUGAUGUUGAGGUUUAAUGUUUCUAGUUGGUUAAUUUGACUAUUGGCCUCAUGUAGCUGAUGUUCUAAAUGAGCUUUGUCAUGUAAUGUUUGUUCGUACUCACUGCUACAUUGACUGAACCCGUCCACAACAAAUUGGAGCCUAUCCCGAGCCUCAAUGGCUUCAGUGUGUUGAAUAUGUAACUGAGCCAUUUCACAUUUCAGCUUCCUAUUACUAUUUAAAAUGUCUAAGAAUUCCCUCUCAUUGUCAUCUCUUUCCUUCAGUAGUUGAUCACACAACUCCUUUGAAGCCUUCAGUUCGCUCAAAGCCAAGUUAAGAUUUGACUCCUCCUGGCGAGCAUGGGCUUUACGUGUGAGAAUCAUAUUGGAAAUGGAGACAGAGACAGUAAGAAGGAAGUUAUAAUAAUAAUUAAGAGAUGUGAAGCUAAUUAGUCAAGAACGGCUAGAAUGAUGAGUGUGUUUCCCUGUAUUUAUUCAGGUACUUCAAUCGGUGGUUCUUUGUCGAUCAGUUCUCGGAGAUCAGAAGAGUCUAAGUUAGUGGUGGCUCUUUGUCGUGCACUGGAAUAAAAUUUAAGGUUUUUUGUGAUUAUUAUUGCCAACAUUUCGGUGUGAAGUCUGAUUCGUUGGUGAAGUAAAUGGUGAAUAUAUACAUACAGCUACACCUGUAACCUCUUUCACUAUUAUUUCUUGUU